UCGUCCUGCCUCGUGAUCGUCUUCUCACCGCUCACGCAGGGCAGGCGGAAGGACGGAGGCCCCCGCGAGGACGUGACUCGCGGGGGCCUCCG
rnacentral:ncRNA from 1 species